rnacentral:rRNA from 1 species
CCUACGGGGGGCAGCAGUGAGGGAUAUUGGUCAAUGGGGGAAACCCUGAACCAGCAACGCCGCGUGAGGGAAGACGGUUUUCGGAUUGUAAACCUCUGUCCUCUGUGAAGAUGAUGACGGUAGCAGAGGAGGAAGCUCCGGCUAACUACGUGCCAGCAGCCGCGGUAAUACGUAGGGAGCAAGCGUUGUCCGGAUUUACUGGGUGUAAAGGGUGCGCAGGCGGUUGAGUAAGACAGAUGUGAAAUCCCCGAGCUUAACUCGGGAAUGGCAUAUGUGACUGCUCGACUAGAGUGUGUCAGAGGGAG